rnacentral:rRNA from 1 species
GGACAAGAUAGAAAGAGCUAACGGC